GACGAACGCUGGCGGCGUGCUUAACACAUGCAAGUCGAACGGAAAGGCCCUGCUUUUGUGGGGUGCUCGAGUGGCGAACGGGUGAGUAACACGUGAGUAACCUGCCCUUGACUUUGGGAUAACUUCAGGAAACUGGGGCUAAUACCGGAUAGGAGCUCCUGCUGCAUGGUGGGGGUUGGAAAGUUUCGGCGGUUGGGGAUGGACUCGCGGCUUAUCAGCUUGUUGGUGGGGUAGUGGCUUACCAAGGCUUUGACGGGUAGCCGGCCUGAGAGGGUGACCGGCCACAUUGGGACUGAGAUACGGCCCAGACUCCUACGGGAGGCAGCAGUGGGGAAUAUUGCACAAUGGGCGGAAGCCUGAUGCAGCAACGCCGCGUGCGGGAUGACGGCCUUCGGGUUGUAAACCGCUUUCGCCUGUGACGAAGCGUGAGUGACGGUAAUGGGUAUAGAAGCACCGGCUAACUACGUG
rnacentral:rRNA from 1 species